rnacentral:rRNA from 1 species
ACAGAGGCGGCAAGCGUUGUUCGGAAUUACUGGGCGUAAAGCGCACGCAGGCGGCUGAUUAAGUCUGACGUGAAAUCUCCUGGCUUAACUGGGAGGGGUCGUUGAAAACUGGUCGGCUUGAGGCAGUGAGAGGGGUGUGGAAUUCCCGGUGUAGUGGUGGAAUACGUAGAUAUCGGGAGGAACACCAGUGGCGAAAGCGGCGCCCUGGCACUGGCCUGACGCUCAUGUGCGAAAGCGUGGGGAGCGAACGG